rnacentral:rRNA from 1 species
AACGAACGCUGGCGGCGUGGAUAAGACAUGCAAGUCGAACGGUGCAGUGCUUGUAGCAAUAUGAGUGCUGUUCAGUGGCGAACGGGUGCGUAACACGUGGAUACAUUCCGGAAAGCGGGGGAUAGCCCAGGGAAACUUGGAUUAAUACCGCAUGUGGUCGAAAGACUAAAGGUGGGGACCGCAAGGCCUGCCACUUUCCGAUUGGUCCGCGGCCUAUCAGCUAGUUGGCGGGGUAAAGGCCCACCAAGGCUACGACGGGUAGCUGGUCUUAGAGGACGACCAGCCACACUGGAACUGAGACACGGUCCAGACACCUACGGGUGGCAGCAGUCGAGAAUCUUUCACAAUGGGGGCAACCCUGAUGGAGCGACGCCGCGUGGAGGAUAAGGUCUUCGGAUUGUAAACUCCUGUCAUGCGCGAACAAGGUUGCUGGGUUAAUAACCCGGCAAAUUGAUGGUACCGCAAGAGGAAGAGACGGCUAACUCUGUGCCAGCAGCCGCCGUAAUAC